UGGGGAAUAUUGGACAAUGGGCGAAAGCCUGAUCCAGCCAUGCCGCGUGUGUGAAGAAGGUCUUCGGAUUGUAAAGCACUUUAAGUUGGGAGGAAGGGCAGUAAGCGAAUACCUUGCUGUUUUUACGUUACCGACAGAAUAAGCACCGGCUAACUCUGUGCCAGCAGCCGCGGUAAUACAGAGGGUGCAAGCGUUAAUCGGAAUUACUGGGCGUAAAGCGCGCGUAGGUGGUUCGUUAAGUUGAAUGUGAAAGCCCCGGGCUCAACCUGGGAACUGCAUCCAAAACUGGCGAGCUAGAGUAGGGCAGAGGGUGGUGGAAGUUCCUGUGUAGCGGGGAAAUGCGUAGAUAUAGGAAGGAACACCAGUGGGGAAGGCGACCACCUGGGCUCAUACUGACACUGAGGUGCGAAAGCGUGGGGAGCAAACAGG
rnacentral:rRNA from 1 species